rnacentral:tRNA from 1 species
AAAUGCUUUAAUGAAGGUUAAACCCCUUCUCUCAGCA